UACGUAGGGGGCUAGCGUUGUCCGGAUUUAUUGGGCGUAAAGAGCGUGUAGGCGGCCAAGCAGGUCCGCUGUGAAAACUCGAGGCUCAACCUCGAGACGUCGGUGGAAACCGUUUGGCUAGAGUCCGGAAGAGGAGAGUGGAAUUCCCGGUGUAGCGGUGAAAUGCGCAGAUAUCGGGGAAGAACACCCGUGGCGAAGGCGGCUCUCUGGGACGGUACUGACGCUGAGACGCGAAAAGCGUGGGGAGCGAACAGG
rnacentral:rRNA from 1 species